AGGUUWAUCUGCUMAUGAAAAUAUUAAAUAGCUGCAGUAUUUUGACUGUACAAAGGUAGCAUAAUCAUUAGUUUUUUAAUCGAAAGCUUGUAUGAAGGAUUGGAUGAAAAAAAAUCUGUCUCUGUUAAAGCCUUAGAAAUCUAUUCUUAAGUAAAAAAGCUUAAAWUAAUUAUAGAARACGAGAAGACCCUAUAGAGUUUAAUAAUUUAGAUAAUAGAAAAUUUAUUUUAGUAUAUUUAAUCAUUAUAAUAAAUUUAUUUUAUUGGGGUGAUAAAAAAAUUUAAUAAACUUUUUUUGUAAAUAAACAAAUAUGAUUGAAUUUUUGAUCCUUAGUUAAAGAUUAAAAGAUAAAAUUACCUUAGGGAUAACAGCGUUAUUUUUUAAAAAGUUCUUAUUAAAAAAAAAGAUUGCGACCUCGAUGUUGGAUUAAAAUUAAUUAUUGGUGAARAAGCUGAUAAAUUUGGUCUGUUCGACCUAAAAAUUUUACAUGAUCUGAGUUUAAACCGGUGUGAGCCAGG
rnacentral:rRNA from 1 species